AUUGAACGCUGGCGGCGUGCCUAACACAUGCAAGUCGAGCGGUAACAGGUGUAGCAAUACAUGCUGACGAGCGGCGGACGGGUGAGUAACGCUUGGGAAUCUGCCUAUUAGUGGGGGACAACCCGGGGAAACUCGGGCUAAUACCGCAUACGCUCUACGGAGGAAAGCCGGGGACCGCAAGGCCUGGCGCUAAUAGAUGAGCCCAAGUCGGAUUAGCUAGUUGGUAGGGUAAUGGCCUACCAAGGCGACGAUCCGUAACUGGUCUGAGAGGACGACCAGUCACACCGGAACUGAGACACGGUCCGGACUCCUACGGGAGGCAGC
rnacentral:rRNA from 1 species